GCGGGAGGAGGAGCCGGAAGGCUCCGGCUCCUUGCCCUUGUCGGAGGUAGAGUCACGGCGGCGGCGGGAGGAGGAAGAGUCGUCCAUGGGGGGAUUGCGGGGGCGACGAGAUCGGGCAGCGGAGGAAGGGGGAGGGGAGGAAGUAGAGGAGGAGGUACGGGAUCGCUUGGUGGCGCGGGUGGUGGGCGGCGUGGAUGAGGAGGCCUCCGCCCGCUUGCGGCUCCGCGUUUCCAUACACGAAGGGGCCGGUCCUCGCCUGGCCGGCGGCGGAGAAGGAUCAGGAGGAUCCGGGCAUGGAGGAUCGGGGCGGCGA
rnacentral:misc_RNA from 1 species